rnacentral:lncRNA from 1 species
ACUUGCUUCCUGUUGCCAUGGUAAAAUACCGUCACCAAAAAGCAUCUUGGGAAGGAAAGGGUUUAUUUGUCUUACCCUUCCAGGUCCCAAUCCAUCUAUGAAGGAACUCGGUAGGAACCCAAGCAGAACCAGAGGCAGGAGCCAUGAAGAAUAGCUGCUUACUGGCUUGCUUUUUCCUAGGAUUUUCUUCUCCGUGUAUAAUACCUACAUUUAUGUAAACGUACCAUGUGUCAGCUGUAUCCACAGGGGCCAGAAGAGGACAUGGUAUCUUCUGGAAUAGGAAUCUCAGCUGAUUGUAAGCCUCUUUUGGGUGCUAGGUCCGCAGAGCCAUCUCCAGCCCCUCAGAUCGUUUCUUACACAGCCCAGGACCAAUUGCCCAAGGGCUGCGGCACCACAGAGAGUUAGGCCCUUGUACAUCAUUCACCAUGCAGACAUCCUCACGAACAGUUGUUACACUGUGGUUCUCUCUUCCCAGGUUGACCAAGUUAACCACAAAAGUAACCAGGACAAUGACUUCCCUUUUUGCAUUUAACUAUUGCAAAUAUAUUUAUUGCAACUUACAGAUAAGUUAGCAAUUAUAUACAAGUAGAAUUUUAGCUAUAAAUUCUGGUUGCGUUUAAAUUUGGAAGUCAGAAGAAGAGAGUCUCAAAAUAGUAUAGUCUCCUAAAGAAGGUUUUGUUAAAUUACAGAAAAAUAAAACUGGAAGCUGAAGAUUUUUUGGCUCGGUUCUAGAGCAUUGGAAUUUAGAUCUCCACAUGACACUGGGCAGCUCUCAAACACCUGUAACUCCAGCUCCAGGCCACCAGUCACCCUUCUGGCCUCAGCAGCCACUCCCACACAUUCACACACAUAAAAACAGAUCUUUAAAAAUGAAAUCUGCCCCGGAAGCUCUUAGGGAGUAGCACUAAUGGGUGUGAGUUUGUUGGAGGACAUGUCACAGUGGGUGGGCUUUAAGGUUUCAGAUAGUCAAGCCAGACCCAAUGUCUCUUUCUGCUGCCUGCUGAACUAAUUGUAGAACUCUCAGCUAACUUCUCCAGCACCAGGUCUGCCUGCCAUGCUUCCCACCAUUAGGAUAAUCGAUUAUACCUGUGAACUGUAAGCCAGCCCCAAUUAAAUGUUGUCCUUUAUAAGGGUUGCUAUGGUCCUUGGCAUCUCUUUACAGCAAUAAAACCCUAACAACAAAAAAAAUAGGGGGGCAGAGGCAGGUGGAUUUCUGAGUUCGAGGCCAGCCUGGUCUACAGAGUGAGUUCCAGAACAGCCAGGGCUACAUAGAGAAACCCUAUUUCGAAGAACUAACUAACUAAAUAAAUAAUCUGAUCAUUUAGAUGUGAAGAUACAAUUAAAAGUUAUAUUUCAUGUCUUAAAGGUGGACAUUGUACCUGUGUGUGCAAGCCUUUCAUGUGUUGCUGCGUUGACACUUUUACCAUAUGGAAUUUAACAUAUGGAAUCCUCCACUAAAAACCCAAAGAAUUUUCUUUCCUUAAAGGCUGGCUGCCUGGCUUUCUUUCUUUCAAGUGAGGGGAUGUUUAACAAUUAAGAUUGAAAUGAAAAGUGAAAAGAAUUCUGUUAUUAUCCUCUAGUGUCCAAUGUCCUCAUCACUGCCUCCUCCUUCCUAUAGGAGGGUAGAACAUAUUUACAUCAUGUAUUUAUUUUAAUUAGCUUACAAAGUAGGUUUCUUUAUGGCGUUUUGCUCGGGGCCCUCUUCUGACCCCACCCCCCUUCUCUGUGCCAUCUGCACUCAGACGCUCUCAUCCCCAGGGACCCCUUCCACUCUCUAUCACAGGUGACCAAGUGUUUACCCAUUUGGUAGUGAGGGUGGACCAUGAGACGAGACCCCGAGCUGCUCCAGGUCACUGCCUGCUCUUUGCUGUGCUUGAAGUGGCCUGUGUGGCCUAUGGCUCUAGCCAUGUGAGCCCUGGUUUGCUGUGUCUCUGAGCCUCUUCAUGCUGGGUUUGUCCUGUUUCUUGUAGUCACCAAGUUCAUGGUCACUCACAUAAGACCCAUGCUGACCCUCUUUCCCUGGCUUAUUUAUACCUCAGCUCAGAGGUUCAUGCUGACACAAAACCCCAUUUUGUUUUUUAUUUAUGUUAAUCCUACUACGGAGCCCACAUUAGCCUCUUUUUUUUUUUUUUAAAGGCAGUUCUAACUGAAACCCAGAACUCAGUGGUUGGCUGACCUAGAGCAAUCUUCUUGCCUUAGUCUGGGAUUAAAGCCUUUGCCAAG